rnacentral:rRNA from 1 species
UACGUAGGGUGCAAGCGUUGUCCGGAAUUAUUGGGCGUAAAGAGCUCGUAGGCGGUUUGUCGCGUCUGCCGUGAAAGUCCGGGGCUCAACUCCGGAUCUGCGGUGGGUACGGGCAGACUAGAGUGAUGUAGGGGAGACUGGAAUUCCUGGUGUAGCGGUGGAAUGCGCAGAUAUCAGGAGGAACACCGGUGGCGAAGGCGGGAUCCUGGGCCAGUACUGACGCUGAGGAGCGAAAGCGUGGGGAGCAAACAGG